rnacentral:tRNA from 1 species
UGCAGUAUGAAUGGGUAUUCCAUCGGGCUUCAUAAGCCUGACUCCACAGGUUCGACUCCUGUUACUGCAACCA